UUUUUUAAUUGUGGACUGGAAUGAAGGGUGGAAACUGAGAGGAUUAGUUUUUAUUAAUAAGUUUGAAUUUAGGUUAAAAGUAAAAAUACUUUUAUUAAUCUUAGGGACGAGAAGACCCUAGAAGCUAGAGAAUUUAUUUUUUUAUUGGGGCAAUUUUUGAAGAGGGAAAUUUUUAUAAAUGUAAUGUAUUGGAAGUAUAUAAGUUACUCUAGGGAUAACAGCAUCAUUAAUUUGGAGAGUUCUUAUCAAUAAGUUAGUUUGUGACCUCGAUGUUGAAUUAAAU
rnacentral:rRNA from 1 species